rnacentral:lncRNA from 1 species
UUGGGAGACCACAGGUCCUAGUACAUUAGCAGUGUCUUCUGCACUGAAAGGCACUCCCCCUCUAUUUGCCUUUGAAAAGACAUUAUGCUCCUGCUUUCUUCUCCCCUUAUUGCCCAGCAAAGGUUCCUCCCUUUUAGAGCCCAGUUCACGGGAAAUUAAAGCACCCAGCAACACGCACGGACCCAGUGGUGGGACUAUUGAAUUUAGGAGGCCUCCCACGGGAGAUUUUUAGGAAGUUAUAUCCAAUGUUUUCUUUCUCUAUGCCUCUAGAGCUCCAGACAAUGGUUGAACAUCACCUAGGGCAACAGAAACAAGGGGAAGAACCUGAGGGAGCCACUGAGAGCACAGGGAACCAGGAGUCCUGCCCACCUGGGAUCCCAGACACAGGCUCAGCGUCAAGGCCAGAUACCUCGGGGACAGCACAAAAGCCUGCAGAAUCCAAACCCAAGACUCAGGAGCAGCGUGGUGUGGAGCCCAGCACAGAGGACCUUUCAGCCCACAUGCUACCACUGGAUUCCCAAGGAGCCAGCUUGGUCUGACAGAAGUUGACAUCCGGGGAUCGCCAGUGAGUGUGGAAGUUCAUGGACACUGGAUGUUUCUUAAUCUCUUGUUUUUAAACGUGAUAAAUUUGGUGUUAGGUC